UACAGAGGGGGCAAGCGUUGUUCGGAAUUAUUGGGCGUAAAGAGCUCGUAGGCGGUUUGUCGCGUCUGCUGUGAAAACUCGGGGCUUAACUCCGGGCCUGCAGUGGGUACGGGCAGACUAGAGUGCGGUAGGGGAGACUGGAAUUCCUGGUGUAGCGGUGAAAUGCGCAGAUAUCAGGAGGAACACCGGUGGCGAAGGCGGGUCUCUGGGCCGUAACUGACGCUGAGGAGCGAAAGCGUGGGGAGCGAACAGG
rnacentral:rRNA from 1 species